GAGGGUGGCGCCGAGGGGUCGUGAAGCUAGGAACUGGGUCGUUUCCGUCCACUCUCUGAGUCAACCCCAUCCUGGCCGACCCUGCUGUUCCCACAAGACCUGUCCGGCCCUGUCCCACCCCCCGCGCUCCAGGUCCGUCCUCUUGGGAUCCAAACCCGGACCACCGUGGGAUCCUGCCCCUCCCACCCUUUUCCUCUUGAGCCUCCCCUCCUGUGGCUGGCCCGCUCUCCUCCUCCAGCCCUGCCCCCUUUCUGCUGCCACGCUCGCUUGCACUCACCUCUCCUUGGUCCUCGCACAUUCUUUCCCCUUCACCUCUGUACCUGCCACCUCGCUGCCCCGAAACUCCCCUCUGGGUCACCUUUUUUAGAGCCUUUUCACCUGCCAGGAGCGUCCAGAUUGUGUCCUUCCCCCACCCUUACUUCACUGUCUCUAAUCCGAGCUGCAGGGGGUGGGGAGGAGGAGGCACUGAGGGGCGAGGGUCAGUGGGUGAACUUUGAAUCUGCUUCUGGAAGCGUACACCAGGUUUCCCCCCAAAGCAGCCCUGUGCUGUUUUCCCCAGCUGUGGCCAUUUGCUUUUCCAUCGCCCCGGGCUGCCCCCUUGCUUGCUGAGACUUUGUUAAACUUCUUCUCAGCAGAGUUACAGUGUUCGUAUUGGCAGUAAACAAGAAGAUAUCUAGGCUACUAGUUUGCCCCAAGCACGUGCCAGGGACUAAACAAAUCUGAAACAGAGGAAACAGAAACCAUAAAGUGAGAACUUCCUCAACUUCCUACUAGCAAACCUACAAAACUGAUCCAAAGUGAUGGCUAAGUAGAGAAGAAAGUAGGAAUGAAUCAAGCAAGGGAAUGAAGAAAUUUCAGGCAAGAAGCAGCAGCCUGUGCAAGAACAAAGAGAGCUCAAACUAUGUUCCAAAUGGCAGGAACAUAGCACAGAGGAACCUAUGAAACUAGAGAAGUAAAGAUACUAUAAAGACCCUCUGGCUAUGAGAUGGAAACUAGGUUCACAAGAUUGAAGAUUGAAAUCCAGGUUAGAGACAAUGAUGGUACGGGUGAUGGCAGGAGGGGUAAAGGAAAAGGGGUGUAGUCAAAGAUUUCUGGGGGAACAAAUUGCCUGGACUUAAUUUAUUCACUGUGAAGAGAAAGGGAGGAGUUGGGAUGACAUUCAGGUUUCUGGUUGGGCAACUAGGUGAACAGUAAGCAGUCCCAUUCACUGCAAGGUGGCCUAUAGGAAGCAGAAAAGUUGGUGGGAAGAAGAAUUCAGCUUUUUCAACCUGUACCUAAAUAAUAAGUAGAGAUAGAGCAAAGAUAGUUAUGUGGAUAUUACCUGAAGAGGAAGAUUCUGGCUAGGAACUACAAAUUUGGGCAUCAUCAGGAUCUAACUAUUUAAGCCACAGGAGGAGAUAAAAUCACUCAAGGAGAGUAUGCAGCAUAAGAAGAAAAGAAGGCCUAAGACCCAAUUCAAAGUGGCCAGGCAGAGGAGAAUGAACUAGAAAAGAAGGCAGAGAAAUAGCCCAAGAGAAAGAAGAGAUACCCGAGUAUCACAGAA